ACUGGCUUCCUGCUCAGUCCUGGCAGUUUGAGGGUUCAGUGUCUUAGCUGUUCCUAGACCUGCACUCAUCUGGACAGAGACCUCUUUGAUGUUGUGCCUGGAAUC